CAUGCCGCGUGUGUGAAGAAGGUCUUCGGAUUGUAAAGCACUUUAAGUUGGGAGGAAGGGCAGUAAGUUAAUACCUUGCUGUUUUGACGUUACCAACAGAAUAAGCACCGGCUAACUUCGUGCCAGCCCCGUCGGUGACUGAGCGGGCUGGCAAGGCGCAUA
rnacentral:rRNA from 1 species